UGCGUAGGUGGGUUGGUAAGUCAGUGGUGAAAUCUCUAGGCUUAACCUGGAAACUGCCAUUGAUACUAUCAAUCUUGAAUACCUUGGAGGUGAGCGGAAUAUGUCAUGUAGCGGUGAAAUGCUUAGAUAUGACAUAGAACACCAAUUGCGAAGGCAGCUCACUACACGGUCAUUGACACUGAGGCACGAAAGCGGUGGGGAUCAAAC
rnacentral:rRNA from 1 species